rnacentral:rRNA from 1 species
GAUGAACGCUGGCGGCGUGCCUAAUACAUGCAAGUCGAGCGAACAGACGAGGAGCUUGCUCCUCUGACGUUAGCGGCGGACGGGUGAGUAACACGUGGAUAACCUACCUAUAAGACUGGGAUAACUUCGGGAAACCGGAGCUAAUACCGGAUAAUAUAUUGAACCGCAUGGUUCAAUAGUGAAAGACGGUUUUGCUGUCACUUAUAGAUGGAUCCGCGCCGCAUUAGCUAGUUGGUAAGGUAACGGCUUACCAAGGCAACGAUGCGUAGCCGACCUGAGAGGGUGAUCGGCCACACUGGAACUGAGACACGGUCCAGACUCCUACGGGAGGCAGCAGUAGGGAAUCUUCCGCAAUGGGCGAAAGCCUGACGGAGCAACGCCACGUGAGUGAUGAAGGUCUUCGGAUCGUAAAACGCUGUUAUUAGGGAAGAACAAAUGUGUAAGUAACGAUGCACGUCUUGACGGUACCUAAUCAGAAAGCCACGGCUAACUACGU